GACGAACGCUGGCGGCGUGCUUAACACAUGCAAGUCGAACGGAAAGGCCCUGCUUUUGUGGGGUGCUCGAGUGGCGAACGGGUGAGUAACACGUGAGUAACCUGCCCUUGACUUUGGGAUAACUUCAGGAAACUGGGGCUAAUACCGGAGAGGAGCUCCUGCUGCAUGGUGGGGGUUGGAAAGUUUCGGCGGUUGGGGAUGGACUCGCGGCUUAUCAGCUUGUUGGUGGGGUAGUGGCUUACCAAGGCUUUGACGGGUAGCCGGCCUGAGAGGGUGACCGGCCACAUUGGGACUGCGGUACGGCCCAGACUCCUACGUGCGGCAGCAGUGGGGAAUAUUGCACAAUGGGCGGAAGCCUGAUGCAGCAACGCCGCGUGCGGGAUGCCGGCCUUCGGGUUGUAAACCGCUUUCGCCUGUGACGAAGCGUGAGUGACGGUACUGGGUAAAGAAGCACCGGCUAACUACGUG
rnacentral:rRNA from 1 species